AAAAGAAGUACAGAAGGCAGGGGUAGCAAGUCUGAGCUGUGCCCUGCCACGGCACACAGAGGGUGCCCACGGAUUUUCACAAAUGUUCUUAAAAUGUGAAAAGCAGGUGUGUUCUUUUUUCUUCAGUCUGAGCUUCAAGUUAAUAUGGGCAUUCAGCUAAAUCCCUCCCAGGUCCGAAACAGUAUGUGGUUUUGGAUUUCAGAGAUGAUCCCUACAUCUUCUGGGAGAGACACAAGUAUCAGCCAGUUGGAGACACAGGGAAAGGGUGGUGUAAUGCAGAAAGUGACUUGAACAAAGUUACACUGAAGGAAGUGGAGUGUGAUUUGAAUCCAAGCAGUCUAGACUCUGUGCCCCAACGACUCUGCAGCAUUACCUCGCAGUAUGAAAAUGAUGCCACAAAUGCAGAUCAGGGAUAUAAGAUCCAGUGACUUACUCAAAGUUUCAAAUGAAAGAUGUAACAGAGCCAUCUCUGAACUUCUGCUCUUUGGAAUCUAAAUCAACACACUGUUUUCACUAAUUCUGACCUUAGCAGGUUGUUGACCCAGGACUUGACCAACUUGCUUUCCAUUUGUAUAAAAUUAAUACCAACUUUCAAGAGAAAUAUUACAUACCAUAAUCAAUAAAAACAAAAUAUCAACGAUG